rnacentral:rRNA from 1 species
AUAUUAGUAAGCGGAGGAAAAGAAACUAACAAGGAUUCCCCGAGUAACGGCGAGUGAAACGGGAAAAGCCCAUCCCUGAAUCCCCUGGUCGCAUGGCCAGUGUGGAAAUGUGGGGUAUGGGAGUGCCCAUGCUGCGACUGCAGUCUGUCCAGGUUCUCCUGAUUGAGGCUUUUACCCAGAGCGGGUGUAAGGCCCAUAUGACGGACUGUGUUGCGGCUCGGGCGCUCCUAGGAGUCGGGUUGCUUGAGAGUGCAGCCCAAAGUGGGUGGUAAAUUCCAUCUAAGGCUAAAUACAUGCACGAGACCGAUAGUAAACAAGUACCGUGAGGGAAAGUUGAAAAGAA